rnacentral:snRNA from 1 species
CAAAAUACUUUUUUUGAGCUGGAGUGAUACAGAGUGGAUUAGCAUGGCCCCUGCACAAGGAUGGCACGCAAAUUCGUGAAGCAUUCCAUAUUUUU